rnacentral:rRNA from 1 species
CAGCCGCCGCGGUAAUACCGGCGGCCCGAGUGGCGGUCACUAUUAUUGGGCUUAAAGCGUCCGUAGCCGGGUUGGGAAGUCCUCCGGGAAAUCUGGCCGCUUAAAGGUCAGAAUGCCGGAGGAUACUCCCAGCCUAGGGAGCGGGAGAGGCCGAGGGUAUUCCCGGAGUAGGGGGGAAAUCCUAUAAUCCCGGGAGGUCCACCUGUGGCGAAGGCGCUCGGCUGGGACGCGUCCGACGGUGAGGGACGAAGGCCAGGGGAGCAAACCGGAUUAGAUACCCGGGUAGUCCUGGCUGUAAACGAUGCGGACUUUGUGUCGGACAAGCUAUGAGCUUGUCCGGUGCCGGAGGGAAACCGUUAAGUCCGCCGCCUGGGGAGUACGGCCGCAAGGCUGAAACUUAAAGGAAUUGGCGGG